rnacentral:rRNA from 1 species
GACGAACGCUGGCGGCGUGCUUAACACAUGCAAGUCGAGCGGUAAGGCCCUUUCGGGGGUACACGAGCGGCGAACGGGUGAGUAACACGUGGGUGACCUGCCCUCAGCUCUGGGAUAAGCCUGGGAAACCGGGUCUAAUACUGGAUAUGACUCCAUGACGCAUGUUGUGGGGUGGAAAGCCUUGUGCGGCUGAGGAUGGGCCCGCGGCCUAUCAGCUUGUUGGUGGGGUGANGGCCUACCAAGGCGACGACGGGUAGCCGGCCUGAGAGGGCGACCGGCCACACUGGGACUGAGACACGGCCCAGACUCCUACGGGAGGCAGCAGUGGGGAAUAUUGGACAAUGGCGCAAGCCUGAUCCAGCGAUGCCGCGUGUGUGAAGAAGGCCUGCGGGUUGUAAAG